CCCCUCUGCGCACGUGGAGGUCGGGGACUCAGCCCUGGGGUUCCCGAUCCCCCAAGCUGGUCCUGGGAAGGAUGUCACAGAUCGGGGCACAGAUCUAUCCCAAAUCCUGAAUGGGGCUGGAGCACAUUGGAGUGAAACCAACCUCUGUGGAGAGGGGUGAGAAGAGAGGGAGAAACACGUCCACCACACGUCAAAGGACUCACAGAAGGAAAGACAAGUAUAUACUCACCUUUGAAUAACCAAGUCUAGAUGUUUUAAAGGAGUGAUGGGAUUAGGAUUAAAAUAAAGGAAUAGAACUUCCAAGGAUUGACUGGAUUUCAGCUUUGAGCAUCAAUGUCUGCCAACAUCACAAAAGAGAGAUGGCCAGACCUGAUGUGGUUCCAUGGACAGACACACCACUUGUGAUGCAGUCUCGCAAAAAAGUCCAACCUGAAUGGGAUCAAAACCUGUGAAUCUGAUUACCACCUUCCAGGAAAUACAGACAACAGCAGUCCUCACGGUCCCCAAAGCUGAUGAAAUUUACUAUCUGCCCCUUUGCAGAAAACAUUUGGUGACUCCUGGGCUGGAUCAGAACUUGAAAACCACUUUCUCAGAGACACUUUUCCUCACCAGGUGUUUACCGACUGAAUGUUUG